GACGAACGCUGGCGGCGUGCCUAAUACAUGCAAGUCGAACGCUUCUUUCCUCCCGAGUGCUUGCACUCAAUUGGAAAGAGGAGUGGCGGACGGGUGAGUAACACGUGGGUAACCUACCCAUCAGAGGGGGAUAACACUUGGAAACAGGUGCUAAUACCGCAUAACAGUUUAUGCCGCAUGGCAUAAGAGUGAAAGGCGCUCUCGGGUGUCGCUGAUGGAUGGACCCGCGGUGCAUUAGCUAGUUGGUGGGGUAACGGCUCACCAGGGCCACGAUGCAUAGCCGACCUGGGGGGGGGAUCGGCCAAACUGAAACGGGAAACCGGCCCGAACUCCUACGGGGGGCGGCGGUGGGAAUUCUUCGGAAAGGGCGGAAAGUCUAACCAGGCAACGCGGCGGGGGUAAAAAGGGUUUUCGGUUCGUAAAACUCUGUUGUUGGAGAAAAACAAGGUCGUUAGUAACUGAACGUCCCCUGACGGUAUCUAACCGAAAGGCCACGGCAAACUACUU
rnacentral:rRNA from 1 species